UACGAAGGGAGCUAGCGUUGUUCGGAAUCACUGGGCGUAAAGGGUGCGUAGGCGGGUCUUUAAGUCAGGGGUGAAAUCCUGGAGCUCAACUCCAGAACUGCCUUUGAUACUGAAGAUCUUGAGUCCGGGAGAGGUGAGUGGAACUGCGAGUGUAGAGGUGAAAUUCGUAGAUAUUCGCAAGAACACCAGUGGCGAAGGCGGCUCACUGGCCCGGUACUGACGCUGAGGUGCGAAAGCGUGGGGAGCAAACAGG
rnacentral:rRNA from 1 species